AUGCAGGAUCCAUAUCUGGCAGUAACAGGUCCUACUCGAGCUGUUGUGGUGUCUGUUCAUCCUAUAUACUUUGAUGUGAACCUUAAAGUGAAAGGUGACACAAAGUCUGAAGACAAAGAUUUAAGCUUUCUAGCAGCCUGUUACAGCAGUAACGGCCCAUGGGCAUCCUGCUUGUUUGAUCGGGCUUGGACCAGCAAACUCAGCACUCUAAAGUUUACAUUCGGCCACUUGGUUGACUCGGUGGAGGCCACAGUGAGUGUGAAACUCAUUAGAGGGACGUGGCCCCAUGGUUAUCGAGGCGUCUUUACUGUUGAGACCUCCGGUAUUCCUGGAAAGGUCAUGUUGCUACUGGAUUCUUGUGAUGGCAAACUACCCGUGGAUGGUGAUGGUCGGGUGAAGCUUUCACGUCGCGUUGUUUGCGUUGAGUUUGUUCAGCCUUUGGAUGGGCUUGGUAGGGCUAAUUUAAGAGUUUCGGUGGAGGCACUGUGCAUCAGUGGGAAGGAUAAGGAUGAAAAGGUCAAAGGGAAGAAAGAUAAUGUGAAGUUUGGGGUGGAUUUUUUGCCCAAGAAAAGGGGUAGAAGCCGGCAAAUGAUAGAAAUACUCUCGUGUGAGAUUGAAGUAACUGUUGUAUGGUCUCUUAUGUCGACCUUCAAGAGCAGCUAUAAGAGGGCCAUCGCAAGUCACCUAGAGAGUCUAAGUUUUAUUUAG
rnacentral:rRNA from 1 species